rnacentral:rRNA from 1 species
CCUACGGGGUGCAGCAGUGGGGAAUUUUGGACAAUGGGCGCAAGCCUGAUCCAGCUAUUCCGCGUGUGGGAAGACGGCCUUCGGGUUGUAAACCACUUUUGUAGAGAACGCAAAGUCUGUUGAUAAUACCGAUAGAUGAUGACGGUACUCUAAGAAUAAGCACCGGCUAACUACGUGCCAGCAGCCGCGGUAAUACGUAGGGUGCGAGCGGUAAUCGGACUUACUGGGCGGAAAGGGUGUGCAGGCGGUUUUGCAAGAUGGAUGUGAAAGCCCCGGGGUUAACCUGGGAAAGCCAUACAUGACUGCAAGACUAGAGUGCGUCAGAGGGGGGUGGAAUUCCAAGUGUAGCAGUGAAAUGCGUAGAUAUUUGGAAGAACACCGAUGGCGAAGGCAGCCCCCUGGGACGCAACUGACGCUCAUACACGAAAGCGUGGGGAGCAAACAGGAUUAGAUACCCGAGUAGUC